GCGCACCGCCAUUACGGUUCACGCAACGACGGAGAUAGUACGUGCCGUAGUUGUUUUUUUCGUUACUGCUUGUAAUUUUUCGUGUACCUUCGGAAAGAAAUGGACCAAUCUGUGCCAAAGAAAAAGAAGAAGUCAUGGGAUCCCACAAAAGAAAAUAAAAAUACAGCGACGUGUUAAAAAACUGCACUCCAUUAUUCUCACUUCAACACCAUUAAAAGAGCAGUUAGAGGAAAAAGAAAGAAAACGACAAAUGAAGAUAGCAAAAGAAAAUAAUGUUGCAGAGAAGAAAGUUAAAGAAAAGAAACAAAUUAAAGGAAAGUCUGUCAAGAGAAAAGUUUUGAACAGUAGCGAAAAUACUGAGGAUGAAGAUAAUAAUAUGAAAAGCAAGAAGCAGGUCAGGAAAGGAAAAAAGAAAGACAAAGGGAAGUCUAAGAAACGUAUGUAUGUAAGUAUGGAUGAUGUGCCCCUAACUGACAUAGAGAAUAGGGAUAUUUGCGCCGUAUGUGAAGAGUUUGGUCGUAAUGGAGAGCUGUGGUUCCGUUGCUGUAGAUGCUCGAAUUGGAUACACAAGGAAUGUAGCGGAAAAGAUUCUGCUGAUAAUUUUUUGUGUGAUUUUUGCUGUGAUUAAUAUAACUUGAUAUCUGAUAUUUAAUUGAUAUUAGGUAUUUUUGAGACUGACUAGUCCAUAUAUAAUUUAAAGAUUUACAAAAACUUCUUGUUAUAAAAAAAUAUUUACGUUUAAGUUGUCACAAAGAAUUUAAGUUUUUGUUAAUUUAAUUUCUAGAAAAAGAUUUGGGUUUUUUGGACUUUUUUACUUCUAUUACUCACCUAUUUGUGUGGGAUUAAAGUGGGCACGAUUUUGUCAACCCAGGGCACGAUAUUAUCAGACCAGUUUGACAAUAUCGCGACUUUAUAUUUUUUUGGUAAAUGGCAAUAAUUACUUUUUGUUUAAAUUUUGUAAGUUUGUGUUAUAUGGUAUGCGUACCUGAAUAAAUGUCCUACUAAUUA